rnacentral:pre_miRNA from 1 species
AGGAGCAACAGCCCCAGUGGCGGGGCAGCUCUGCAGCCCUGGAUUCAGCCCCCGCAGUAGCUCCAGAGCUCUUCGUCUGCAGGGCCUGGAGGCUCCGGGGCGGG